rnacentral:misc_RNA from 1 species
GAAAACAGCUUGUUUCUUUUACAUUCUAGGGCUCAGGCUAGAUAAUUAUGCAAAAAAUGAAGUGAAAAAAAGUUCAUCACAAGUUUGUGAUAUGCGACACGUAUACGUAAUAGCUCUGUCUGUUAAUGGAUACUAAUUUAUACACACAGAAGGGUCUCAUAUUUUCCCUUCAAACACCCACUGCUUGUUCAUAUGAAUUCAUGUGAAC